GCUCGGCGGAGGAGGCGGAGGCGGGUGAUGCAGGCCUCAUGCGGCGGCGGGAGCGCUUCCGCUCCGCAGUGGGAGAGGCCCGCAGGUGGGGUGGCCGCUUUCCAGCCCCCCCCCGCCCCAGCGUGAACCGCCGCGGCCGCCUUCUGUCCCGGCCUCAACCCGCGCCUGGCGGGCGCUGAGGGGGCGCGGGGCUGCCCGGGCGGCAGCGCGCGCCGGCUGAGGGGAGCUGCCCGUGCCCGCCGCCCAGGGUGCGCCCUGUCGCGAUAGGCGUCUCGGCGCAGGGGGUUGGCGCGGAGCUGCCCCGGCGCGUGUCGCGACAGGAGCGUCAGCCUUCACUGGGGGGACUGUCCUCGCUUCUGUCGUGACAGGAGCCUCAUCCAGCCUAAGGUGUUACAGUACUAUAACCUGAACAGUUCCACCAUGCAACAGGUGUCCGUCACUUCAUGUAUUUGCUGAAUCACAAUGAAAAGUCACUCAGACUUCUUCAAGACUGAAAGGAAGACAUUCAGGUGCAUUCUGUGUAGGUCUUCACACCUGCUUGCUAACAUGGGCUGUUCAGAAGGAAGACAAACUGCCAGACUGCCUUAAUGGGACUCUAAACAAAUCUGAACAUGUUUUUCUUUCUUUAUAGUGGAAUAAAUGCUAUAUUGAUCUUCUGUGUUUCUGCUUCCUCACCUUCCUCUGA